UCUUAUCGGUGGAUCACUCGGCUCGUGGAUCGAUGAAGAACGCAGCCAACUGCGAUAAUUAGUGUGAACUGCAGAAACCUUGAACACAGAACUUUCGAAUGCACAUUGCGCCAUUGGAGUGACAUCCAUUGGCACGCCUGGUUCAGGGUC
rnacentral:rRNA from 2 species